AUGGAGGCUCCCCAAGCGGAGGGGUCUCCUCAGGAGGAGGGGGGCGCUUGGCUCUGGUGGGAAAGCCUUCCCGCUCCCCUUAGCUACUUAGUUACCACCACCCUUGAUUACUUUUGGUCCUUUGUCAACCCUCCCUUGGGAUCGUGGUCUCCCGCCCAGAUUGCAAGUCCAUCCUCACCUCCUGCGGCCCAGGCCCAAGCGAUGCAAGAAAAUGAGCCACUGAAUGAGGAGAAUCCGCAGAUAAAUGAACAGCUCCAGGAAGCAGAGACAGAGAAGACAGAGUGGGUUAAGGUGCUGAAAGGCAGAGCGGCUGCACCAGCUGGAAGCAGAGCUGGCCCAGGUCGAGGAGGAGAAUCAGCGCCUGGAGCAAGAGCUGCAAAGAAGCCAAGAUGGGGUCUUCUGUGGUUUAAAAGAGGGCUCUCCGUCCAGGUCCGUGUCACUGGGAAGACUGGUGGCUGUGAAAACCAGUUCUUAAAGAAAGUCUCUGACCACCUUUCCACUCAACGUAUCCGCCUCAAGCCGGAGAGGUACCGAGAGGACUCCGGCCACUUCCUGCUGGUCUUCUGCCCGGUGGCUACCUCGGUGGGCAGUGACAUGGCCAACGCUCUCGAGGGUCUCGGCAGUGAGCCCAAGGCGGUCUUGGUGAUGCUGCACCACAAAUUGAAGGAGAUCACCUCCCCUGUGGACACCAGGAAGCGGGCGCAUCACCCGGCCGUCGUGCGCACUCUCCACGCUCGCUACACUCUUGAAGAUGGCUUCUACGCCUGCCAGAUGAACAAGGAGGCCGUGGCCACUGUGGCCGAAGCCCUCAAAAACCACUUCAAAGGGUCUUAA
rnacentral:lncRNA from 1 species